UCAGACGAUGCGUCAUGCAUAUCAAUAAGCGGAGGAAAAGAAACUAACAAGGAUUCCCUUAGUAACGGCGAGUGAAGCGGGAAGAGUUCAAAUUUGAAAUCUUCAAGGUUUUACCUUGACGAAUUGUAGUUUAAAGAAGUGUUUUCUGCUGAAGUUUUGGUAAAAGUUCUUUGGAAUAGGACAUCAUAGAGGGUGAGAAUCCCGUAUUUGACCAUUAUUUUCAGCUUUGUGAUACACUUUCAAAGAGUCGGAUUGUUUGGGAAUGCAGUCCAAAAUGGGUGGUAAAUUUCAUCUAAAGCUAAAUAUUGGCGAGAGACCGAUAGCGAACAAGUACCGUGAGGGAAAGAUGAAAAGAACUUUGAAAAGAGAGUUAAACAGUACGUGAAAUUGUCAAAAGGGAAGCGUUUAACACCAGUGUUGUUUUCUGAAAAUCAAUUAAAAAUGGCUCGAUUUUGUAUUGCUUGAGACCUUAAAAGCUCACUGUACAUUUUUCGUGUCUUUUUUAAUGCACUUUUCGUUUAACAAGUCAACAUCAGUUUCUUUUGUUGUAAAAGGGUCAUUGGAAGGUGGCUUUCUUUUCGGAGAAAGUGUUUAUAGCCUUUGGCCUCUGCAAUCGGAGAGACUGAGGUCUGCAGCGUAGACUCUUCGGGGUUAGAUACAUUUGUGCUAAGUUAUAGCUUUUUAUAGACAACUUGUUGACUAUAAUUAGUCUUGUAGCUUACUCGCUUAUGCUAUUUUACCUACGCUUAGGAUGUUGACUGAUAUGUAGUCGUA
rnacentral:rRNA from 1 species